rnacentral:rRNA from 1 species
GACGAACGCUGGCGGCGUGCCUAAUACAUGCAAAUAGAACGCACAGUUUAUACCGUAGCUUGCUACACCAUAGACUGUGAGUUGCGAACGGGUGAGUAACGCGUAGGUAACCUGCCUGGUAGCGGGGGAUAACUAUUGGAAACGAUAGCUAAUACCGCAUAAUAUUGAUUAUUGCAUGAUAAUUGAUUGAAAGAUGCUAUUGCAUCACUACCAGAUGGACCUGCGUUGUAUUAGCUAGUAGGUGAGGUAACGGCUCACCUAGGCGACGAUACAUAGCCGACCUGAGAGGGUGAUCGGCCACACUGGGACUGAGACACGGCCCAGACUCCUACGGGAGGCAGCAGUAGGGAAUCUUCGGCAAUGGACGAAAGUCUGACCGAGUAACGCCGCGUGAGUGAAGAAGGUUUUCGGAUCGUAAAGCUCUGUUGUAAGAGAAGAACGGGUGUGAGAGUGGAAAGUUCACACUGUGACGGUAUCUUACCAGAAAGGGACGGCUAACUACGUG